CCUACGGGUGGCUGCAGUUAGGAAUAUUCGGCAAUGGGGGAAACCCUGACCGAGCAAUGCCGCGUGUGAGAUGAAGGCCCUAUGGGUUGUAAAUCACUUUUGUUUGGGAAGAACUGUAAGGAGAGGAAAUGAUACUUACUUGACUGUACCUUUUGAAUAAGCCCCGGCUAACUCCGUACCAGCAGCCGCGGUAAUACGGAGGGGGCGAUCGUUAUCCGGAUUUAUUGGGGGUAAAGCGUGCGGAGGCGGUUUGUUAAGUCCAGAAUUAAAGCCCGAGGCUUAACCUCGGUUCGUUGUUGAAACUGGCAGACUCGAGUAUGGUAGAGGUAAAUGGAAUGCCUGGUGUAGCGGUGAAAUGCGUAGAUAUCAGGAGGAACACCAGUGGCGAAGGCGAUUUGCUGGGCCAACACUGACGCUGAGGUACGAAAGCGUGGGGAGCAAAUAGGAUUAGAUACCCGUGUAGUC
rnacentral:rRNA from 1 species